GUUCUCAGGGCGGGGUGAAAUUCCCCACCGGCGGUAUUCCGGGCGGCCGAAAACGGCUUUCAGCCCCGGAGAGCCCGCGAGCGCCCUUCACGCGAAGGGGUCAGCAGAGCCGGUGAGAAACCGGCGCCGACAGUAACAGUCUGGAUGAAAGAGAACG
rnacentral:ncRNA from 1 species